rnacentral:rRNA from 1 species
AUUGAACGCUGGCGGCAGGCCUAACACAUGCAAGUCGAACGAGUGGCGGACGGGUGAGCAAUGUCUGGGAAACUGCCCGAUGGAGGGGGAUAACCACUGGAAACGGUAGCUAAUACCGCAUACUAUCGGAUGUGCCCAGGUGGGAUUAGCUAGUGGGUGGGGUAACGGCUCACCUAGGCGACGAUCCCCAGCUGGUCUGUGAGGGUGACCAGCCACACUGGAACUGAGACACGGUCCAAACUCCUACGGGAGGCAGCAGUGGGGAAUAUUGCACGAUGGACGCAAGCCUGAUGCAACCAUGCCGCGUGUAUGAAGAAGGCCUUCGGGUUGUAAAGUACUUUCAGCGGGGGGGCGUUACCCGCAGAAGAAGCACCGGCUAACUCCGUGCCAGCCGCCGCGGUAAUAC